UGCUGGAAUUCGUGAUGGAACUGGAGACUGGCAAGCAGCAAGGCAGACCUCAGGAUCACUGGAAGUAGGUCGAAGACCCACCAGCUAAGAUAUCAUGUUCAAAUUGCUCUGUCUGCAUGUACGCCUGCACGACAGCAGAGGGCAUCGGAUCCCAUUACCUAUGGUUGUGAGCCACCCUGUGGGUGCUGGGAACUGGACUCAGGACCUCUGGAAGAGCAGCAGCCAGUGCUCCCAACCACUGAACCAUCUCUCCAGUCCCUAGAACAAGCUUCUUAACUGCCACCCUCUAAAGUGCCUGCGCCUCUCUCCGUGGCAUCCACGACAGUGCCUGGAACACAGUAGCGUAAUGACUAAGGGACCUCAGAAGAGGCUUAGCCUGGGGCCCAUUUCUGUUCCACCGGUCUCAACAGAAGCCAGAAGACCUCUUCCCUUCCAUGCUGUCUCUCCCGCCUACAGAUUCUACCUCCUAAGGCUUCACAACUACACUCUGGAGACGACUCUUGUUAGGAGAGAGGACAUGGGCUCAGGCUUGUCACAUCCCCAGAGCACCUAGCCCACAGAAUGCUGAAAUCAUGAUGUUUUUGGAGUGGAGUGGAGGAGGUGACACAAAUCCUGUGUGUUCACAGCUGUCUUUUCCUCUCAUGCUAAAAAUCCGUCAUCCUGAAGAGGGGGACCUCUCAUGGCUCAGAUACUUACAUGCUGACUAGAAUAACAAUGACCGGGACAGGCUCUGGAGGGGCAGGAAGACCCAAGCAACCCUGCGAGACUGAGAGGUCACUUGGUGUCACUAAUAUUUAUUGACACAGCGAUGACUGUUCCUGGGACAGCUGUGAAUCAGAGGAACUGCCGGGGAAAGCAUUCAAAGGCCAGACACACACUGUCUGACCCGUACCUGCCACCCCACCCUGCACCCCCUUUGCCUUCUACCAACCAGGGCAAGAAUCUGGAAACCCUGGAGUCUGAGGUAGCACAGCGUGGGUGCAGGUGAGCGCAGGACACUGCCUGUGUCUGUCUGUCUAGCUGUCACUGAGCUUGGUGUUGGAGACAGACAGCAGUCCUCCAUUUCACCAGACGCUUAUACCGAGCACUCCCUGGACGGCAGCCUGAGUUCUACCGGCUGACUCGAUACUUUUAGUCUGGGCCCUGAGUGCAGACAGGGCCUCGCCUGGUCUAGAUUUUGGGUUCAGUUCUCUGCUCUUUAGUUUGGUUUCAGAAUGCUCGGGGGAGGUGCACAGCCACUCUCUGGCUUCGGAACCUUUGGAUCCACGCAGUGCCACCCUGGACUGGGAGAGGACAGUUCCCACUCAGGCUCCAGGCAAGAGUACAGGUUCUGUUUGCUUCCCCCUAAGCUCAGGUUGAUGGUGGGAUAAGAACCAGCCAGUUUCAGUCCAGGGCAGGUACCCCAGCCAGGCUAGUCACGAGCCUUGCAGUGAAACUAGCUGCUGAGUUUCCCGGCUCCUAGGGUACCCCUUCUCCAUUACAGUGGCCCCUGUUGCUAGGAGAUGCUGAACAAAACACUGUCAUCUGCUCUGCAAACCUGGCAUAGCCCCCUAGCCCCUUUGGCCAUUCGAGGAGCCCAGUCCUCUAAUUAGAACCAGCAGGCUUGGCUCACACGCUCCCCAAACCUAGCCUGACUUCAGUGGCCAUAAACCUUUCGAGUUCUUUCCUGUGUGCCUUCUGGGAGAUGCCCCCUGUGGGGACCUCACAGGCAAGUCACUUCCUGUGGCUCAAGGCCAGGCAGGUGCAGCUGCAUCUUCCAGGGCACAGAGCCUGAAGCUUCCCAAGCAAGUCUGGUACUCCUAGGCCUGGCACUGUGGGAUGAAAAAAACCAAGGCGGGGGACUGGCUCCUGCUUCUAAGCUCUUCCAACUUUCCUGCCUAUGCACCGCAAAGCCACUCUGACCUGGACAGCCCUGGGGACCCUCCUGCAGGUAGCUGACCACCAGCCCUUUUCCCUGACUUCUGCUACGUUGACUCAGACAUGCUGUGUUGGCCGGAUUUUACCUGUCUGUCUCAGGAUCCUCUAGGACAGGCCCACAGUUUGAUCUCUUUCUUUCGACAGCUCAGCCCCCACCGUGCGUUCCACACAAAGCUGGGUUCAGGGAUAUUUGCCGAGUAGCUAGAUCAGAGCUACCCACAUCCCUCCGGCAGGAGGGAGUAGCCUUUCCUUUACUGUGGGAGCCUGAGAUAGUGAAGCCAACUCUUUUCCCCAUCGGAUUCCCCGAGGCUGAUGUGGCCUGGACCUGUGGUGUCUCUGGCCAGGUGGACCAGGACGAUUCCGUACAUAUGCCAGCUUCUGACUCAGCGUGGACCAAGGGUUCCAUUAGGAGAACAUCCCCAUGGCUGAGCUGGCUGAGGACUCCCUUGGAAUCUCAGUGAUUCCAAUCCCCGGUGUGAGGGGAGCAGCUGGCAUGCUGUUCCCUGUCCCAGCUCCUGCUCACCUGCCAGAGGUAGCUGGAUCUGGGCUUCAGACUGGGCACCCUGAUGUCUUUGAUGCUGCCCCUCAUACAACUCAAAGGCCACACCAGUGUGGAGCAGCCACACUCCCAGCACCAAGAAUGGUGUGCUGUACUGUCCCACAGGCCCAGCCUGGUGGGUUGGCCUCAGGAUAGACAACUUUCCCUUCCAGAACUUGGGGGGAAUGAAUGCCUGCCCACACACAGAAGCACGGAGAAGCGCUAUUAGCAGAGACAGACGGGGGGUCUCCAACUGCAGGCUGGACUGAACACAGCUCCACUUAUCUGAAGCACCAGAGGGCAGACAGACGGGGUUGGGGGGUGGAGGGGAUGAUGGCGGCAUCCUUCUCAGAAGUGGGGCUGGGGUUGGCAGGUGCCAAUCACAACAGAGUUUUUGUUGGUAUCUCCAUGGGGUGGAGCAGGGCAGGGCCCCACCUAGAAGUGUUCCUACUGUGCUCAGCUGCCUCAGCCAAACUCCUGCCUCGAGAUCUAACUCCUAGUCUGUGCUGUGCUGCACAGUUUGCUGGGCAAAGCAGCUGCAGCCUUCGUCUUGGGUGUGGGGAUGCUGAGAAGAGACGGUGGGUGUUUACUAAGCCCCAGUGCAUGCUGGGCUUGAUGCUAGACGUGGAGGAUGGAAGGAAGGAUGGUGACUGUGCUGCAGAAGUUGCAGGUCUGGGUGGGACAGAGGACGUGGGAGGGGUGCGGGGUGAAGGGAGCGUGUGAGUCAAGGCCACGGGCUUCCGUGGGUCAGCUGGGAACAGGAACCUCAGAUCCUUCCCCUAUGCUCCUGUGUGGGAUCAGCCAGUGUUUCCAGAACAUGAGAUCCUUGGUGGGUUGCAUCUCUGGGAAGGAGGGCAGGCUUGGGGGGGGGAGGGGGGAGGAAGUGGUGUCUGGCCCGAAGCUGCAGCUGUAUCCUCCGCUUGCCUCUCCAUAGCCAUCCCUCACAGGUCUGGCCCGUUCUCCCUCUGCAGUGCCCUGACUGUGACCCUGGAAGGGGCUGUGAGAAGGCCCCUACCCCCACCCACCUGUCUUCUGGUCUCAAAUAUUCCCGUGUGACCCGGGAGGGCGGGGAUGAAGCCUGGCAGCAUCUCAGAAUGCUCUGUUGUCCCCUCCCAGGCUGGUGGCCAGAAUCCCCCCACCUUUUCUGUGGGACCCGGAUGACCUGCCCAAUUGCUCAGGCCUGCAGGGCACAUGGAUCUGAACCUAACUUCCACUCAGGAAAAACCUGGCUUAUCCAAGAGUGUUCCUGGCAGGUCUAGCCAGGGGCCCUGCGCCAACAGAGUAGCUACCAGAGGGCCCUGGCUUGUGCACUAUGUUCAAGGGUGCUUCAAAUGCCCCAGGCUUAAUCGAGAAGCGUAUAAAAUCUCUCCUGUGGCUGGGUCAUUAAGGUCUGGAGAGAGAGCAUGGGGCUCUGGAUUCCACUCCAGGGAGAAGCUUGCGAGUGCCGACAGCCAGUUUACAGAUCCACAAGACUCCUACUCUUCCCAUAGGCGAGUACGGUCAAGCCUUGUGGCCAAGCUUAGGGGAGGCCUCCAUCAACUGGGGCCCAGUACAACAGCAGCGCUCAGUGAGGCCCUGAGGCUUUUGUGAGGUUUGCCUGCAAACUGAUAGGAGGUUACAUGGCAGCCAGCCUUGGGGACAGCCAGCACUGCCAGGCACACCCUUUAUACAGCCCUUUCCCUCUUCUCUUCUGGGCAGUUUCCGAGAACAUUCCAGGACCUGUUGGUAAGGCCGGCCUCUGUCCCCUAGAACCUCUUCCAUACUGUCCUGGGAGACGAUCAGGACUGAGCUAACCCUCAAAGCCAGGCUCCCCAGACAGUGACUGAAGUAGCUGCCAAAAGGGUUCACACCUUCUGGGGCCUCAGGGGAGAGAGGACAGUUUUCUGGCCUGUAGGGGUCCUUGUUUUCCUGGCUUCCCUGGUUAUACCUUCUGGAGAUCUCCCAGGACGCUAGGACAGUUUGGCAUUACCAGAAGGAUCCCACAAGCAGCAGACAGGAACAUCAGAGACAAGAAAGUCGGCGGCAGAGCGAUUAGCGCCAUAGAGACAUAAAAUGAGAGAGACAGGAAAUGUUAGAGAGACAUAAACAGGAAGAGGAGAUGGCACGCAAGAGCCAAAGAAAGGCAGAGACGGCGAUGCUUCAAAGCCGGUGGCUCUAAAUGUAGAGCUCCUGCGAACCCAGGGAUGGAGACAUUGCUUGGAGCUAGAAAAUUAAAAUAGUCUUCCCCCGA